rnacentral:lncRNA from 1 species
UUUUUGACUAAUCAUAGUGGUUCAGUUGCAUCAAGAGAGAAGCAACCACUCUAUUGGUAUGAGAUGCUGUGGGGUGGAGAUGUGGUUGGACCUAAGAUCUGUCAAGUGAGGAUCCAAUGAUGGGUUCACUCAUGCUCAAUAGUGGGUCUGACUUAAUAAAGAAAUGAGAUCAAUAUCUGUCAGGUGAGGUCUCAAGAAUUAAAGACCAAAUCCACUAUAGUUUGCUUGAGAAGCAUUGGACAAGAAUUAUCUACUUAUUGUUGACACGUUCACCA